GGUAGGGUGUCCGAGUGGCUGAAGGAGGCGGUCUUGAAAACCGCUGUGGGCGGAAGUCCACCGUGGGUUCGAAUCCCACCCCUACCG
rnacentral:tRNA from 1 species